AAGUUUCCUGAUAUCUGUAGCUCAUCUCUGAUGUCACUUAAGACACAGAACUACAGAAAUAAAUGGAAAACAGUAGAUGAAGUUUUUUAUUAAUAACUUUUUUCUAACAUUGGUUCAGUAAGAAAAACACUCAGCAAGUGUUGGCUGUUUCAUGUAAGGGAGAUAUCACAGGCAAAUACAAAAAUCUGCUUUGUUACUUUCUCUAUUUUUUGGAAGUAAACUAAGAAGUCUCUACAUACUACAGUGUAUUCAGACCUCUAUUCAAUUGUAACCAGUAAAAGUCCACUGCCCCAGGAACCAUGAAAAAGCUCUCAAAAUAGCCUGCCAAAUUCAGAGGCGGAUGCUCACAGCCAAGCAUUGGACUAAGAAAAGAGCCCCCAUUGGAGGAGUUAGAGAAAGGACUGAAGUAGCUGAAGGGGUUUGCAACCUGGUAAGAAGAACUACAAUAUCAACCAAACACCCCAGAGCUCCCAGGGACUAAAUGACCAUCCCAAGAGAAUACAAGGAUGGACCUAUGGCUCUAUCCACAUAUGUAGCAGAGGAGGGUCUUGUCAGGCAUCAGUGGGAGGAAAAGCCCUUGGUCCUGCCAAGGCUCAAUGCCCCAGUGCACGGGAAUGUCAGGGCAGGGAGUGCAUGGGUGUGUGAGGGAGCACCCAGAAAGAGGAUAACGUUUAAAAUGUAAAUAAAAAAAUCCAAUAAAAAAAUAAAUUACAUCCAUAAAAAA
rnacentral:lncRNA from 1 species